rnacentral:piRNA from 1 species
UAAAGAUGGCAACCAGUCUUCUGAGGGGCCU